rnacentral:lncRNA from 1 species
UUAGAUUCAACAGAUACCCAUAAAAACCCGUAACAGUUUUUAUUAAAGAAACAAAAUACAGGGUGGUAAAAGUGACUCAUGUCUGUUGGCCAGUCUGGUCUCAAACUCCUGACCUCAAGUGAUCUAUUGGUCUUGGCCUCCCAAAGUGCUGGGAUUACAGGCGUGAGCCACCCCGCCUGGCCCAAUCUUCUUAACAUAAACACUUUAAUGUCAAUUAAUGCUUGAACUCAAUGUUAAGUCAAUUCAAACUCAAGUCAAUGCUGAAUUGACUCUAAUGCCAAUUAAUGCUUGAUGGUUUGCUAUACUCAUUGCAUUUGGAACAAUCAUCUCAAAAAUGAAUUUUCUGAUGUUCCUUAAGGGGUGAUCUCAGACUGAAGACCUUGCCACACUGAUGACAUUUGUAAGAUUUCUGUCCAGUAUGGAUUCUCUGAUGUCUAAUUAGGUGUGAACGUGAAGUAAAGGCUUUGCUGCAAUCAUCAUACUUGUGAAGUUUGUCUCCUGUAUGAAUUCUCUUGUUUUGCAUAAGAUGAAGCUAGACUGAAGACCUUGCCACAAUCAUGACAUUUGUAAGAUUUCUGUCCAGUAUGGAUUCUCUGAUGUCUAAUUAGGUGUGAACGUGAAGUAAAGGCUUUGCUGCAAUCAUCAUACUUGUGAAGUUUGUCUCCUGUAUGAAUUCUCUUGUUUUGCAUAAGAUGAAGCUAGACUGAAGACCUUGCCACAAUCAUGACAUUUGUAAGGUUUCUCUCCAGCAUGAGUUCACCGAUGAACUGCAAGGUAUGAACAACGUCUGAAAAAUUUGCCACAUUUAUUACACUUUCAAAAUCUCUCAUUAUGGAUUCUCCAAUGAUUUGAAAUGGUUGUAGUGUUACUGAAGACUUUGUGAUAAUCAUUACAUUAGUAAAGUUUCCCUAUACCAUGGAUUGCCUGAUGGUGAAUAAGUGUUGACUGCCCACUAAAGGCUUUGCCACACUCAGUACGCUUGUAAGGUUUCUCUCCAGUGUGACUUCUAGUUUGUUGGGCCAGGUGUGAAUCACGCCCAAGAUUCUUGUCACAAACUCUUACAUUUGUAAGCUUUCUCUCCAGUAUGAAUUCUCCUGUCUUUCAAGACUUGAUUUACAACUGUAAACUUUGUCACAUUCUUCAUAUUUCUAAUGUUUCUUUCCAGUAUGAAUUCUAUGAUGACGUGCAAGUUUUGCUUUUCGAUUAAAAACCUUGCCACAUUCAUUACACUUGUAAGGUUUCUCUCCAGUAUGAAUUGUCUUAUGAAUUACAAGGACUGAAUUGUGACGGAAGGUUUUGCCACACUCAUUACACUUGUAAGGUUUCUCUCCAGUAUGAAUUCUAUGAUGACAUGCAAGGUGUGCUUGUUGAUUAAAAACCUUACCACAUUUAUUACACUUGUAAGGUUUCUCUCCAGUAUGAAGUCUAUGAUGACGUGAAAGGUUUGCUUUCCGAUUAAAAACCUUGCCACAUUCACUACACUUGUAAGGUUUUUCUCCAGUAUGAAUUGCCUUAUGAAUUUCAAGGGCUGAAUUGUGACGGAAGGUCUUGCCACACUCAUUACACUUGUAAGGUUUCUCUCCACUAUGAAUUGCCUUAUGAAUUGCAAGGGCUGAAUUGUGACGGAAGUUCUUGCCACAUUCAUUACACUUGUAAGGUUUCUCUCCAGUGUGAAUUCUAGUAUGUUGUGCCAGGUGUGAAUCACGCCCAAAAGCUUUGUCACAAACCUUACAUUUGUAUGGUUUCUCUCCAGUAUGAAUUCUCCUGUGUUUUUCAAGGCUUGAUUUGCGACUGAAAACUUUGUCACAUUCUUCACAUUUGUAAGGUUUCUCUCCAGUAUGAAGUCUAAGAUGGCAUGUAAGGGAUGACUUCUGACUGAAGGCCUUGCCACACUCAUUACACUUGUAAGGUUUCUCUCCAGUAUGAAUUGCCUUGUGAAUUAUAAGGGCUGAAUUUCGACCGAAGGUCUUGCCACACUCAUUACACUUGUAAGGUUUCUCUCCAGUAUGAAGUCUACGAUGGCAUGUAAGGUAUGACUUCCGACUAAAGGUCUUGCCACAUUCAUUACACCUGUAAGGUUUCUCUCCAGUAUGAAUUCUCCUAUGUCUUUGAAGGUUUGAUUUGAAACUGAAAGCUUCAUCACAUUCUUCACAUUUGUAAGGUUUCUCUCCACUAUGAGUUCGCCAAUGAACUGCAAGGUAUGAACGAUGUCUGAAAAAUUUGCCACAUCUAUUACACUUGUACGAUCUCUCUUCAUUAUGGAUUCUCCAAUGAUUUGCAAUGGUUGUAGCAUUACUAAAGACUUGGUGACAAUCAUUACAUUUGUAAAGUUUCCCUAUACCAUGGAUUGCUUGAUGGUAAAUAAGUGCUGACUGCCCACGAAAGGCUUUGCCACACUCAUUACACUGGUAAGGUUUCUCUCCAGUAUGAAGUCUACGAUGGCGUGUAAGGGAUGACUUCCGACUAAAGGUCUUGCCACACUCAUUACACUUGUAAAGUUUCUCUCCAGUAUGAAUUAUCCUAUGUCUUUCAAGGUUUGAUUUGAAACUGAAAGCUUCAUCACAUUCUUCACAUUUGUAAGGUUUCUCUCCAGUAUGAAGUCUACGAUGGUAUACAAGGGAUGAUGUCUGACUAAAGGCCUUGCCACACUCAUUACACUUGUAUGGUUUCUCUCCAGUGUGAAUUCUCCUAUGUCUUUCAAGGUUCGAUUUGAAACUGAAAGCUUCAUCACAUUCUUCACAUUUGUAAGGUUUCUCUCCAGUAUGAAGUCUACGAUGGUAUACAAGGGAUGACAUCUGACUGAAGGUCUUGCCACAAUCAUUACACUUAUAAGGUUUCUCUCCAGUAUGAAGUCUACGAUGGCGUGUAAGGGAUGACUUCCGACUAAAGGUCCUGCUGCACUCAUUACACUUGUAAGGUUUCUCUCCAGUAUGAAGUCUAC